rnacentral:lncRNA from 1 species
GAGAAUUCUCUCGCCUGCCUUCGGCCCUUAGGCUCCGGGAGAUUGCAAAUAACCUGCUUUCUUUCUGUUCCCAGGUGGCGUCGGACCCCUGUCAGAGAGUAAAUCUCAAGUAAGGUACCUGCCAUCGGCAGAUUUGAGCUUUCUUCUUGGACACCUAAUACCCACAGUCCUCCAGGCUCCGGUAGACUGCAAAUGACCUGCUUUCUUUCUGUUCCCGGGCUGCGUUUGGACCCCUGUCGGAUAGUAAAUCCCAAGUAAGGUACCUGCCCUCGGCAGAUUUGAGCUUUCUUCUUGGACACCUAAUACCCACAGUCCCCCAGGCUCCGGUAGACUGCAAAUGACCUGCUUUCUUUCUGUUCCCGGGCUGCGUUUGGACCCCUGUCGGACAGUAAAUCCCAAGUAAGGUACCUGCCCUCGGCAGAUUUGAGCUUUCUUCUUGGACACCUAAUACCCACAGUCCUCCAGGAUAACUUCAGGAAGUGGGUAUUAAUUCUCACGGUAUAAGUGAAGACAUUAAGCACCAGAGUUUAAGUAGCUUGAUCCACUGAAAGAGAUUCAACUGUGUGGAACCUAUGCCGUGGAGAAUUGCUUUCUGCCAUUGUUAUCGUCCAGCAGUUGCCGAAUAGCUCUGACCUGAGCAAAGCAGUGAAACGCGGUGCUGUUGAGUGGGUUGCCACUGCACCUUUUUCAACUACUCUAGUCUUGUGGAGAAAAUACCCCUUCUAAAUUUUUUCUUCAUUGAAUACUCUCCCUCAGCUCCAGAGUACCAUAUAGAGUUUUCUUGUAUUUUAGAGUUACUGUUUUAUCAAAGUUUACCAGUCUUUUGUAUUACAUUUCUCCUGUCUAAAUCGACUGUGUGGUUUCUACUCAUUAUGGAUAUAGAUUGAUACAAACUCAAUAAAUAUUUUUGAAUGAAUAA